rnacentral:rRNA from 1 species
UACGUAGGUGGCAAGCGUUGUCCGGAUUUACUGGGCGUAAAGGGCGCGUAGGCGGUCAGCACAAGUCAGUUGUGAAAUCUCCGGGCUUAACUCGGAAAGGUCAACUGAUACUGUGCGACUAGAGUGCAUAAGGGGCAACUGGAAUUCUCGGUGUAGCGGUGAAAUGCGUAGAUAUCGAGAGGAACACCUGCGGCGAAGGCGGGUUGCUGGGCUGACACUGACGCUGAUGCGCGAAAGCCAGGGGAGCGAACGGG